GCCUCCUCCACUUUGUCCAGUAGUGAAAAAAGGAGUCUUUAAAGCUUGUCAUUCAUCAUUGACAUUGAGGGUCUUUCAUUAAUGGGUUGCCCAGAGAUUCUUGGAUGCACUUGAGCUUAAUUUCUAGUUCAAAGUACUUAAACAAGGACAAAGCCAGGAACAGGAGGGUUCAAUCUGAUGAGAUCAAUGGCGGAAGAGAGAAGUUUGGUGGCCGUGGAACCAGGGAAGUCAGUAUUGAGGAUAUGGGUAUCGGUACUAUCGAUAUGUGGAAGCUAUUCGUGUGUGAUGAGCAGCGUGGCUGGGGCAAUACUCUUGGCUUGGUGGGAGAUUCAAUACCAUCAAUCCAAUAGCCAACUAUGGAUGGUCCCUUUCGGUCUCAUUCUCUUCGCAACACCAGCCGUCGUUUGGUUCUCUGUCUUCGCUUCUGGUAUCCAUCGUUCUUCUCUCGAGACAGAUCAACGACCCCGAGUUGACUCUACAUUCCUCAAUGACUCUGUACACGAUCCAGAGAGACAAUCUUCAAUCCCACCCCCUUCCCCCCUCCCCCUUUCCCUUCUUUCUGUAAUCUUAUCUGUAGCUGAUGUUGCUUCUUUGUUUUAAGAUUAUAAGAUGAUGAUGAUGAUUAUGAUAA